CCCAGAUGGGAUUAGCUAGUAGGUGGGGUAAUGGCUCCACCUAGGCGACGAUCCCUAGCUGGUCUGAGAGGAUGACCAGCCACACUGGAACUGAGACACGGUCCAGACUCCUACGGGACGGCAGCAGUGGGGAAUAUUGCACAAUGGGCGCAAGCCUGAUGCAGCCAUGCCGCGUGUGUGAAGAAGGCCUUCGGGUUGUAAAGCACUUUCAGCGAGGAGGAAGGUGGUGAGCUUAAUACGCUCAUCAAUUGACGUUACUCGCAGAAGAAGCACCGGCUAACUCCGUGCCAGCAGCCGCGGUAAUACGGUGGGUGCAAGCGUUAAUCGGAAUUACUGGGCGUAAAGCGCACGCAGGCGGUUUGUUAAGUCAGAUGUGAAAUCCCCGAGCUUAACUUGGGAACUGCAUUUGAAACUGGCAAGCUAGAGUCUCGUAGAGGGGGGUAGAAUUCCAGGUGUAGCGGUGAAAUGCGUAGAGAUCUGGAGGAAUACCGGUGGCGAAGGCGGCCCCCUGGACGAAGACUGACGCUCAGGUGCGAAAGCGUGGGGAGCAAACAGGAUUAGAUACCCUGGUAGUCCACGCCGUAAACGAUGUCGAUUUGGAGGUUGUGCCCUUGAGGCGUGGCUUCCGGAGCUAACGCGUUAAAUCGACCGCCUGGGGAGUACGGCCGCAAGGUUAAAACUCAAAUGAAUUGACGGGGGCCCGCA
rnacentral:rRNA from 1 species